GGUGAACGCUGGCGGCGUGCUUAACACAUGCAAGUCGAACGGAAAGGCCAGUGCUUGCCCUGGUGCUCGAGUGGCGAACGGGUGAGUAACACGUGGGUGAUCUGCCCUGCACUUUGGGAUAAGCCUGGGAAACUGGGUCUAAUACCAGAUAGGACCAUGCUUUGGAUGGUGUGGUGGAAAGUUUUUUCGGUGUGGGAUGAGCUUGCGGCCUAUCAGCUUGUUGGUGGGGUAAUGGCCUACCAAGGCGUCGACGGGUAGCCGGCCUGAGAGGGUGUACGGCCACAUUGGGACUGAGAUACGGCCCAGACUCCUACGGGAGGCAGCAGUGGGGAAUAUUGCACAAUGGGCGCAAGCCUGAUGCAGCGACGCCGCGUGGGGGAUGACGGCCUUCGGGUUGUAAACUCCUUUCGCAACUGACGAAGCUUUUUGUGACGGUAGGUUGAGAAGAAGCACCGGCUAACUACGUG
rnacentral:rRNA from 1 species